UGGGGAAUAUUGCGCAAUGGGCGAAAGCCUGACGCAGCGACGCCGCGUGUGGGAUGAAGGUCUUCGGAUUGUAAACCACUGUCGGGAGGGACGAAGCUCUGACGGUACCUCCAAAGGAAGCACCGGCUAACUCUGUGCCAGCAGCCGCGGUAAUACAGAGGGUGCAAGCGUUGUCCGGAAUCACUGGGCGUAAAGGGCGCGUAGGCGGCCUGGUAAGUAGGGGGUGAAAUUCUGCGGCUCAACCGCAGGACUGCCUCCUAAACUGCCGGGCUUGAGCACGGUAGAGGCUGGUGGAAUUCCCGGUGUAGCGGUGGAAUGCGUAGAGAUCGGGAAGAACAUCGGUGGCGAAGGCGGCCAGCUGGGCCGUUGCUGACGCUGAGGCGCGACAGCGUGGGGAGCAAACAGG
rnacentral:rRNA from 1 species